GACGAACGCUGGCGGCAUGCCUAACACAUGCAAGUCGAACGGAGAUAGCAAUAUCUUAGUGGCGGACGGGUGAGUAAUGGAUGAGUAAUCUGCCUCAUACACUGGGAUAACACAGAGAAAUUUGUGCUAAUACCGGAUGAGACCACACUACCGCAUGGUAGAGGGGUCAAAGGGCUUUACUGGUAUGAGAUGAGCUCAUCUCCCAUUAGCUAGUUGGUAAGAUAACAGCCUACCAAGGCGACGAUGGGUAGCCGGCCUGAGAGGGUGAACGGCCACAUUGGAACUUAGACACGGUCCAAACUCCUACGGGAGGCAGCAGUGGGGAAUAUUGGGCAAUGGGCGAAAGCCUGACCCAGCAAUGCCGCGUGAGUGAAGAAGGUCUUCGGAUUGUAAAGCUCUUUGAUUAGGGACGAAAAAAUGACUGUACCUAAAGAACAAGCCCCGGCUAACUACGUGCCAGCAGCCGCGGUAAUACGUAGGGGGCAAGCGUUGUCCGGAAUUAUUGGGCGUAAAGGGUGCGUAGGUGGUUUAGCAAGUUGGAAGUGAAAUACCCAGGGCUUAACUCGGGUGCUGCUUUCAAAACUACUAGACUUGAGUGUGGGAGAGAAUAGUGGAAUUCCUAGUGUAGCGGUGGAAUGCGUAGAUAUUAGGAGGAACACCAGUGGCGAAGGCGACUAUUUGGCCCAUAACUGACACUGAGGCACGAAAGCGUGGGGAGCAAACAGG
rnacentral:rRNA from 1 species